rnacentral:rRNA from 1 species
GGGGAAUUUUGGACAAUGGGGACAACCCUGAUCCAGCAAUGCCGCGUGAGUGAAGAAGGCCUUCGGGUUGUAAAGCUCUUUUGUCAGGGAAGAAAUCGUGGACUCUAACAUAGUCUGCGGAUGACGGUACCUGAAGAAUAAGCACCGGCUAACUACGUGCCAGCAGCCGCGGUAAUACGUAGGGUGCAAGCGUUAAUCGGAAUUACUGGGCGUAAAGCGUGCGCAGGCGGUUUUGUAAGUCUGAUGUGAAAUCCCCGGGCUUAACCUGGGAACUGCAUUGGAGACUGCAAGGCUAGAGUGUGUCAGAGGGGGGUAGAAUUCCACGUGUAGCAGUGAAAUGCGUAGAUAUGUGGAGGAAUACCGAUGGCGAAGGCAGCCCCCUGGGAUAACACUGACGCUCAUGCACGAAAGCGUGGGGAGCAAACAGGA